UCCAGGAUGAGCUCCUGCCCUCCGAUGGCAUC
rnacentral:piRNA from 1 species